rnacentral:rRNA from 1 species
UACGGGGGGGGCAAGCGUUGUUCGGAAUUACUGGGCGUAAAGGGCCAGUAGGCGGCCAACUAAGUCGGAUGUGAAAUCCCCAGGCUCAACUUGGGAACUGCAUCCGAUACUGGAUGGCUUGAAUUCGGGAGAGGGAUGCAGAAUUCCAGGUGUAGCGGUGAAAUGCGUAGAUAUCUGGAGGAAUGCCGGUGGCGAAGGCGGCAUCCUGGACCGACAUUGACGCUGAACGGCGAAAGCUAGGGGAGCAAACGGG